rnacentral:rRNA from 1 species
AUUGAACGCUGGCGGCAGGCUUAACACAUGCAAGUCGAGCGAGCGGCGGACGGGUGAGUAAUGUAUGGGAAACUGCCUGAUGGAGGGGGAUAACUACUGGAAACGGUAGCUAAUACCGCAUACCAUCGGAUGUGCCCAGAUGGGAUUAGCUAGUAGGUGGGGUAAAGGCUCACCUAGGCGACGAUCCCUAGCUGGUCUGAGAGGAUGACCAGCCACACUGGAACUGAGACACGGCCCAGACUCCUACGGGAGGCAGAAGUGGGGAAUAUUGCACAAUGGGCGCAAGCCUGAUGCAGCCAUGCCGCGUGUAUGAAGAAGGCCUUCGGGUUGUAAAGCACUUUCAGCGAGGAGGCGUUACUCGCAGAAGAAGCACCGGCUAACUCCGUGCCAGCAGCCGCGGUAAUAC